GAUGAAGAACGUAGCGAAAUGCGAUACGUAGUGUGAAUUGCAGAAUUCAGUGAAUCAUCGAAUCUUUGAACGCACAUUGCACCUCUCGGUAUUCCGGGAGGUAUGCCUGUUCGAGCGUCAUUUGUACCCUCAAGCUCUGCUUGGUGUUGGGUGUUUGUCCCGCCUCUGUGUGUGAACUCGCCUCAAAACAAUUGGCAGCCGGCGUACUUGUUUCGGAGCGCAGCACAUUUUGCGAUCCAGAUCAACGUACAGCGGCAUCCAAGAAGCCUUAUUUAACGCUCUUGACCUCGGAUCAGGUAGGGAUACCCGCUGAACUUAAGCAUAUCAAUAAGCGGAGGA
rnacentral:misc_RNA from 1 species